rnacentral:rRNA from 1 species
GACGAACGCUGGCGGCGUGCCUAAUACAUGCAAGUGAAGUUCAGUGGCGGACGGGUGAGUAACACGUGGGUAACCUACCCAUCAGAGGGGGAUAACACUUGGAAACAGGGUCUAAUACCGAAUAAAGGGGGAUGGGCUCGCGGCCUAUCAGCUUGUUGGUGGGGGGAUGGCAUACCAAGGCGGUGACGGGUAGCCGGCCGGAGAGGAUGACCGGCCACAUUGGGACUGGGAGACGGCCCAGAAUCCUACGGGGGGCAGCAGUGGGGGAUAUUGCACAAUGGGCGAAAGCCUGAUGCCGCGACGCCGCGUGGGGGAUGAGGGCUUUCGGGUUGUAAACCUCUUUCGCUAUCGAACGGGUAGGUGGAGAAGAAGCGCCGGCUAACUACGUGCCAGCCGCCGCGGUAAUAC